UCGUCAAUGGCCCGGAAGAGUGAACUAGCUAACUGAAAUCUUAAGAUCAUUUAAUCGUGGUACUUGAGAUAACGUAAGGGAAAAAAAUGAUAGUACCUUACUAUAAGUGUUGUCCAACAUUACUGGUGCCAGAAGACUCGGUAACGCCAGAAACGCAAACGUUAGUCGUCCUAAUCAGGCGUAAAGGGUAAGUAGGCUGCUUUGAAAGUUAUUAAUUAGAAAGCUCCAGUAGGCAAAGCCAACCCUCAAUCAAUUGAUUGAGAGGGGGGGGGAAUCUGCAACUGGUAAUUAAUAAUGAAUUAAAGCUAGAAUCAAACAGAGGAUAAGCCAAAUAAUGUUUAGAGUAGGGAUGAUAUCCGUAGAUACUAAAUGGAAUACUAAUGGUGAAAACUUUUAUCUAAUAAUGAUUGACGCUGAGGAACGAAGGUGAGAAUAGAAAAUAGGAUUAGAGACCCAGAUAUCUCUCACUGUCAACGAUGAAUGGUGGUUGUUAGUUUUAAAAUAAACUAGUAACGAUGUUAACGCGAUAACCAUUCCGCCUUGCGAGUACGGUUGCAAAACAG
rnacentral:rRNA from 1 species